rnacentral:rRNA from 1 species
GUGUCAGCAGCCGCGGUAAGACGUAGGGCGCGAGCGUUGUCCGGAUUUAUUGGGCGUAAAGAGCUCGUAGGCGGCUCGUUGCGUCGGCUGUGAAAACCCGCAGCUCAACUGUGGGCUUGCAGCUGAUACGGGCGGGCUGGGAUUCGGUAGGGGAGACUGGAAUUCCUGGUGUAGCGGUGAAAUGCGCAGAUAUCAGGAGGAACACCGGUGGCGAAGGCGGGUCUCUGGGCCGAUAUCGACGCUGAGGAGCGAAAGCGUGGGGAGCGAACAGGAUUAGAUACCCUCGUAGUCC